GCGGCUGUGUACAUAAAAGUGAAUGUAUCAAAAUUGUGUAUGUGUAAUUAAAACCUAAACUAAUAUAUAUAUCUCCAUCUACGCGGCCUUGACACCAAAAAUAAGGAAAUAAAUCCCUUCUAGGCCGCUUAACCUUAAUAACAUGGGCUUAGGCCCUAAACUUAAUUAAUACUCAAAAUAAAAUAAAACUAAGAGUUUUGGGCUUCAUAAAAAAUAUAACAAGUAAAUUGAAAGCCCAAUCUCUACUUUCUUCCAUCUUCACAUCAAAUCUCCAUCGACAGCUUGUUUUCUCCAAUUUCUUCCAAUCAGCAGCUCCAUCUCUACUUCUUCAAAUUCCUGCGCCAAAACAUAGCAAAACAUGUAAUAUCACAUGAAACCACGGCAAAACGCACACUAAACUAGGUAGCUAAAAUACACACAUCAAAUCCCCUCACACUUAGAUCAUACUUGUCCUCAAGUAUGAAAUAAGAGAAGAAUUAAUGGUGAAAUUCAGCCCCUAGAAGCAACUCCUUUCCUUGACACGAAGACUCUAGAAACGAAAGAACGGAAAACAGACACAACGACACACGCAAAGAACAGGAAAAUAAAAAGGGAAACGAGACAAGACACGACAAACCAAACAACUAGCCAAGCAACAUCAAAGCAUCAGGAGUGAAACAGUCUAUCAAAUCAAAUCAUGCAAUUCACCAUCACUUCCCAACUCUCGAACUAAAAACAUGAACCUCCAAAGUGUGUUUCCAUCAUCAAUCCAGUCCAAAUUAGGCAAUAAUGAGUGCAACUCUCACGCUCAUUCAAUCUCUCCAUAAGAUAAGGUAAUUCUCACACAAGAAGAAACUCCAAUUAGUCAUGAUAUUUCGCAGUCACAUUAUGGCUCAAAAAGGUCUUUCUUCUUUGGUUGUAAUGGGGCUAAGGACUAUCAAUGAUGUAGGCACGAUCCUAUGGGUCCUAAGCUCAAACAUUGAAGAUCAAAUAUCGUGCAUGCUCGAAUCAAAUCACACCCCAAGAAAUCUAAACAUAUGAAGAAUAACCUCCAAUUCAACCAUGGGCAACAAUCAUCAAACAACUCAAUGCAUGUAUACUAAUUCAACAUUGGUGCAACCUUUAUUUUCUCUUUCUUUUUUUUUUCUUUUUUUUUUUUUUCUUGUUUUUCUUCUUUCUUUUUUUUUUUUCUUCUUUUUUCUUUUUUUUUUCUUUUUUUUUUCUGCACCACUUCAUUAAAACAACACAAUCAUGCAAAGAGUACAUCAAAAACAAUCUGCCCAACUGUCAACAUCUUCCUCUGUUCGGCCAAACAGACCAUCUGUCUAGAUUCAGAAUUUAGUUUUAGCUCGGGUUCUGUUUGGGCAAACAAGCAUCUUUAUGCACAUUCCUCCAAAAGCUCAAUUAGGAUGUAAUUCAAUUCUAACAUGCACAAUAGGGCCCAAGAGAAGGUUCACAAAAACAGGCCUUGGCUAUAUAUAUAUAGUGACUAAUAUGAACAAUCACGUCAAAGGCUCAAACAUGGCUCACUAGGGGUUAGUGCAUGGGUAGGAAUUCAAAAGCAGGCCAAAUGGCUA
rnacentral:lncRNA from 1 species